rnacentral:lncRNA from 1 species
UCUGACAUAAUAUGGAAUCUGUUGCUCAUCACCACAGGAGAUAGGGGAGGGAAAUUUGUAAGAUUGAAAUCUGGAGACUGAACCUGCUUAGCUUUAGCUGUCUGUAUAUGAACUUCUGGUUCACAUAUAGGAGCUACAAUUUCUUUGGUGGAUACACUACACUGCACAGUAUCCGACUGUAGGUUAGGUACAAUCUGUUGUUGUGAAAUAGCCUGGUUUGGAACUUUUGGUCUCCAUUCCUGUGCCACUUUAGUUUUCAUCAUCUGGUUGCCUUGUGGAGGUUUAGGAUUAGCCAUACAGUUAUGUCCAACCAUACAACAUUUCUCACAA